rnacentral:misc_RNA from 1 species
AUUUUUGUGUAAUAUGUGAAUACGGCGGCCAUUAUCGUGUAUUACGUGAAUGAAGCCUAACCAUAAUUUCUGUAAAAAUGGUUGGCAGGUGUGCUGUUCCUGGUUGUAAAUCAACAUAUUUCAAAGGAAAUCAAAAAGAAAACGAGGUUACCCUGUUUGCAAUUCCUAAAACUUCAUUAUCUAAAUGGCGAGAACUAAUUCCAUGUAGUUAUUUGACGAGCACCUCACGUAUUUGCUCCCGUCAUUUUGACGAAAGUGACUUCAAAUCAGGGAUUUAAAUUUUGAACGUGUUCCAUCCUUUCAAACGUAGGAAUCGUAAUGCUGGAGCAAUUCCCAAACAUUUUCUGAUAAAUGAUACACCUAGUCGACAAGCAAUGCAAAAUGUUGAUGGUUUCAAAUGGAGAAAUAACCUUAAUGUGGAAACAAAUGCUAGCAAUGCAUCAGUAAGGAAACGACCAAAAGUAGACAAAAUACCUACUACGUCUAAGAGAAAAAAAUUUGACAGUACAGGCUGCUGAAGAAGCAAUUUUUGAUCCACUUCCAGAUUCAAUCAAGGAAAAUCUUGCUGUUGUCAUGGAAGAUACGACAGUUGCAUCACCUUCUAUGGAAGCUACCUCUACUAUUCAAGAAUCAAUGGACACUCACCAGGCUGCUGAAGAAGCAAUUUUUGAUCCACUUCCUGAUGUAAUGAACGAAAAUGUUGCUGUUGUCAUUGAUGAUUCGACAGUUACAUCACCUUCUAUGGAAGCAAGCUCUACUAAUUUCAAGUCUAAUUUUGUGACAUUUCAGUCACUAGUAACUUCAUCAAUGGUACCAAAGAAUUGGACAUGGUAUUUUGAUCAAAUUAAACAAACGAUUUUUUGCAUUUCGAUGGAUCGACUACCAAAUGAAAAUUAUAAUGUGAAAAGUGUACAUUUUCAAAACAAGAAGUAGUGUAUUAUGUCAACGGAACAAUAAACAAUUUACACAACCAAA